UACGUAGGGCGCAAGCGUUGUCCGGAAUUAUUGGGCGUAAAGAGCUCGUAGGUGGUCUGUUGCGUCCGCUGUGAAAACCCAGGGCUUAACCCUGGGCUGGCAGUGGAUACGGGCAGACUAGAGGUAGGUAGGGGAGAAUGGAAUUCCCGGUGUAGCGGUGAAAUGCGCAGAUAUCGGGAGGAACACCGGUGGCGAAGGCGGUUCUCUGGGCAUUACCUGACACUGAGGAGCGAAAGCGUGGGGAGCGAACAGG
rnacentral:rRNA from 1 species